rfam:Fungal sp. No.14919 DNA, contig: Contig0017.
GGAUCGGUAGCUCAGUGGUAGAGCAGUGGACUGCAGUUCCAAAGGUCAUGGGUUCAAUUCCCAUUCGAUCCU